AGGCAGGCUAUGAAGAGGUGCAUAGGGUGAGAAACAGAGGCUUCCAGAAAACAGCUGGGGAGAAGCUGAGUCCCAUCAACAAUUCAAAGGACUGCAGCUCCAGCCAACACUUUGAUGUAAUCUCAUGAGAGAGACUCUGAAUCAGAACCACCUAGAAAUUCUGGGAUCUGCAAUGGCUGCCAUUCCUCGAGUCACAUGCUGUUUAGCUGCCACUGUUGGACUUGACUCUCUGUCCUUGGAUGGACUUUGAAAAUCCCUGGGAAGCUCUUGGAGUCAGAUGAUCAGGCCUCCAUCCCUCUGCCAAAAAGUCUGUUCAACAAAGAUCUCUUCGAGACUGUCCAACAAAUAGUCAAAGGAUGUGAAGCAUGCCAGAAAAACAAUCCUUUGGCACAUUGCAAAGCUCCUCCUGGGGAAAAGCAAGCCUGUCCUUACCCAGAGGAGGACUGGAAAAUGGACUUUUCUCAUAUGUAUGGAGUCUCACUCUGUCACUGAGGCUAGAGUGCAGUGGCACGAUCUCAGCUGACUGCAGCCUCCACCUUCCUGAUUCAAGUGAUUCUCCUGUCUCAGCCUCUCAAGUAACUGGAAUUACAAAUGUGCACCAGCACCAGUACUAUAUAUAUAUGUGUGUGUGUGUGUGUGUGUGUAUACACUAUAUGUAUGUGUGUGUAUAUAUAUAUAGUACAUAUAUAUAUAUAGUACAUAUAUAUAUAUAUAUAUAG
rnacentral:lncRNA from 1 species